rnacentral:snRNA from 1 species
AUACUAACCUGAUGCCGGAGUUUCGCUGGUCAAGACGGGCGAGCUCCCAGGGCGAGGCACGAGCAUUGCAGGGCGAGCUUUGCACUGCGCUCGUGUUGACCCCUGCCACUACCCCUAACAGGGGCGGAUGGGGCAAGUAAUUUUUGGUAGUGGGGGGACUGCGUGCGCGCUGUCCCCCC